rnacentral:ncRNA from 1 species
UGACAAUUACGCCAAACCAAGUGUGAGCUAGGGACGGAAAGUUACAGAUCUUUAACGCGUACCACUCUAAAGAUGGCUGAGCUGCAUUC